rnacentral:sRNA from 1 species
AUAACUAGCUUACAAGGACAAAUUCCUUUUAGGAAAAGUUUAGUAAUAAACUACUUGCAAAGCUGACC